UUUCACUUUGCAGCGGGUCAUUCAGCUCUUUGGGCUCACUCACUGCAGGUCAUUUGAACUGUGUGCUGCUGCUUAAAGAUGCGGAUUUUGUUUGUUCACAUGACAUAGAGUAGAGAAGGGCACAUGAGCUAAGAAGAUGAGCUGGAUCAUUCAUAUUUCCAUUGAGGUUAGUACUAUCACGCACAGGGGAAGACCACAGCACUGCAAUCAGGCAACGCAGACAGAACACCACAAACUGCUUCAAAGACGUUUCAACAUGGAAGCAAGAGGUCCUAGACGCAGCCCUCAAAUUCUACUUUCUGAUGAUGACAGUGGUCUGUGGAUGAAGAUGGAUUCAAACCAUGUGAGCAACCACACAGAGAAUUUUUCAGCGACCUCUGAAGACAAAAUCACAACGAUCUCUGCUGCUCCCACUGCUAUAAUGAGGUACUACAGUGUGAUGGAUGAUGAAGGUGCAGAUGAUGUCUUCAUCCCUCAACCACCUCCUCCACCUCGCACGGCUACAUCGCUGCCAGCAGAGAAAAGCACAGGUGCAACAGCAAGUAAGUCUGGUGUGACCCUUUCAGUUGACGCAACAGAGGCUGAAGCUAAUCCAAGAGGCUUAGACUUGUCUCAUAGUGAGGAGCAGUUAAUGGUAGCACGAAACGAGCUGGAUGAAGAGGUGACUGCAAGUGCAGUGCAGUUGUCUAUGGCCAACAUAUCCAAUGAACAAGACUCCUCUCCACCAACUUAUCAAGAACAACAAUCCAUGGAUGUGACUGGUUGUCUGAUGGAAACUGGUUAUGAUACAGAUCGAAGACCUUACGGGAAUAACGCAACAGAGAAUGACAAACCAGAGGACAUUGUAAUUAUAAGUGAAGAACAGGGAAACUGCUGGGAAGCCAAUACGGAGGAAGACAGUUACCCAAAACAAACACAUUCAAACCACAGAGAAGACUCUGAGAAUCAGAUCCAUUUAGACAAAGACGGAGACAAAAUAAAACACAAGGACAUUGGUGAUUUUGAUGAAACAGACUUAAAACUAUUAAGAGAAAGUAUAGCUAUCGAGAGUGUGGAGGCAAAUUCCGAUGAUGAUUUCAAGCUCUGUAAAUGCAACCAAAACAGGACCGAUACAGCAACCAGUCAGGCACAGGCUGCUGACUUCCAAACAGAUACGGACAAAGACAAUGAAGAGCAUGAUGACCGUACAUCUUUGGAUUAUAACCUCAUAAAGUGCGACUGUGUGAGGAAAGAAAGCGGCAGCACAGAAAUGCAAGUGCUAUCCAGCUCCAAAGGUUCUGAAGAAAGAGAGACAAUGGGGGAGCAAGAGGAUGGAAGCAGGAAAAUAUCUACUGAUAUCCAACAAGGUGAGCAACUGCUUCAUCGUCUGCAGCUGGUACAGCUACGACAUGAUGUGAAAAUGUCAGAGAACGCUGAUACCCAACAGCAGGCUGUCAUGAUGGAUGAAAAAAAGGGCAUGUUUGGGACUGAAACAGAGAAUAUACCUAGUGAAGAAGAGAGGGAAGAAGGCAGAUUCGAAACUCUUAAGGAAGAUGAAGAAAAGGUGAGCCUGAUGGAAAAGGAAAAUAAUGAGGACAAAGACAUUCAAACAAGAGCAAGGACAUCUUCAUCCACAAUUCCAGGAGAGUCAGAAGAAGACCAGAGGGUUGUCAGAAUAGAUCCGAGUGACUCUAAUGACAAUCAGAGUGAUAGCUGGGAGCCUACAGAUUUGACUCCCAGUAAUCCUCAUGAAACUUCUAAUGAAAUUCCAUUUCUUUCCACUGGACACCGAUUUUCAGCUGCUGAAACCUACAUGGAGAGGCAGCUCCAUGAGGCAGCCCAGGGGAAGCAGAAGCUGCAGAGAGCUGGAGGUGUUUUCAAUCUUGCAGAAAAUCCAGAUGUGCUGGAGAUUCCCUUUAAAACAGAUAUCUCUCUUGAGUCACUCACUACCAAGGUAGGUACAAGCCAAUGCAACGAGUGGCAAUUCUCUGAACAGAAGAUGCUCAAAGAGAUAAGUCAGGAUAUUCAGAGAGAACUAGUGCUGGUCAAUCAAGGUAAAAUCCCAGGGGGGUACAGCAAAGGAGAGAUCCGCCAGUUAAAAGAGACAAAACUGCUGUUUGAAGCCUUCCAGCAGGACAAUCCGGAGGGUCCAACAAGACACCGUAAAUCCCCCACAACUCUGAGGAAAGGUCACAUUUACCCUUCAGUGCUAGAGCGCACACGUAGCCUUGAGAUGUUUUCCCUCAAAACUUGUCCUGUUUCCAGAGCACAUUCCCUCAGGCUGUACCAAUCUGCAAAUCUUGAGAAGGAAAAAAGUCCUGACAGCAUCAGAUCAAAGAGCCCAACUGGAGGGUCACGAGACAAAACUCGCUUAUCCCCUUACCCAAAACAAGACAAAAACAUUCGCCUGUACAGAAGCAUGGACUCUAUAAGCAAUGACUUCUCUACGUUAGCUGUGGAGGGUAAAGCAAAGGCAGCAAAUGCAAACAAAGAGUCUUCAAUCCUCAAGCAAAACCCAUUCUUCAAAUUGCGCCCAGCCCUGGCUCUACAACCAGAGGUAGAGAAGGACAUCCGAGAAGCCAAAGAAAGAGAAGAGGAGCUGCGCAAGCAGAGACGCAGUCUGUAUGGAGAGAAGAGACAGAAUAGUGAAGAUGAACAAAAGUCACAAACACUCCCAACAGACAGCAGGAAACAGUCACGGGGGAAACUGGAGCGGGUUUGGCCACCUCCUUCUAAAAAGGACCAGAUAAAACUGGAGCAGAUAGAGCAGGAGCCAAAAGUUCACCGAGCAGGAGGACAGAAAGCUUCUCUCUGGCAACGCUGGGAGUCCGGCCUGAUCAAUGGGAAGCCGUCAAAAGAAAAGAAGUGAUGUUAUAUGUCCUGGUUCUUGAACACUACAAACAGAAUAUCAGGGACUAGACCAGCACUAGACUUAUAGUCAAAAUAACCCAAAUUGUUAUGCUAGUCCCAGCUUCAAUACUUCCUCGCUCUUUUAACUCUGCUUUGUAUCUGUGACAAAUAUGCUUUUUUGUAUCUUUAUUAUUAUUUUAAAAAAAAAAUAACAAUACCAGUCCAUAGAUUAUGUUAGGAAAAACUCUUGGACCAAAACAGCCACUGUUCCAGCUGGUCCAGGAAAUGACUUUGUUAGAAUGCUGGCUAGCAUUAGCAGCUACUUCCUGAGAACCCUGGCUAGCAUUAGCAGCAGCUUCCUGCUCUGUCAGAUUUAGAAAGGUUUACACUUUCAGUUGACAGUUCAACAAAAGAAGGGUCCAAUCUUAUGGAACAACAUGGUUUAUACUUUUUUAAAAAUAAAUAAAUAUUGUACCAUAAACACAACUGUCAGUUAUGUAGACAACACUAUAAAACUAUUUAAGCUAGCCUACUUGUAUGGGGGAAAAAAACUCACAAAAUAUCCUUUGUGAAUGUAGCAUGCCUAAAUCUUCAAGGGUUAACUUAGCAAGAACAAGCAAUAUGAAUAAGAAUUAAAUGAUGGGAUGUAUGGGAUAUAUUCUUGACAAUAUUAAUAAAAGACCAAGCUGCUUCACACUUUUUUUUAGCUUUGGUGAGCCUCUUGGUUUAUGAAAGUCUAUUUCCAAAAUGCCUCUAAGCAGGUUUCAUAGGUUGGAUGCACUGGUUCUGGCUGCUCCAGUCACUGUACAAUGUCUGAAGGGACUCUUUACUAAGCCACUCUUACUCUUGGAUUUACUCUGAGGCCACACAGAGGAGAUUACACUGAUCACAGCUGCUUUUUUCUGUAUAGCUUGAUGUAUCAUUUGUGGGUUUUGUUGCAUAUUUUCUAACAAGCCUAAAGAUCAUCCAAAGACCAGAAAAUCCUAAAUGGAGAAUAAUGAUUAUUUAAAAUAAAUUUACACCACUUAAUCCAUUGAACUGGAAUGUUUUGAUGCCCUCUAGAGGUUGUUUCAUCUUGGAGUUGAUUCCAAAUUCAAGCUGGUUAAAUAGAAUUAAAGAGAAUAGAAUCAAAGAAGAUAAACUUAACAAAGGCUUUAUUGAUUGGCCUGCAGUCACGUUUACAAGGGAGCACCUGGUUUCUAAUCUCUACAGAGACAGAAGUACACAGCUUAGCCUGUCUAAGUACCAUCUGCCACCCCCACUGAGUCUGCCAAAAGAGGAAAGACUUUCACUCUGCCCUUCCUGGCUUGGAUAUCCCAGUGUUAAUUGGCUACCACUGUCAUCAUCCUAUGAGCAAUAAGCAGUGCCAAGGCCAAGGUAUCAGUGGUUUGCAUUUUAACAUAGAUACAUUAAACAUCUAUAACAUCCAAAAAUGUUGGCCUUUGAAAGUGUUUACACAUGCAUGAAGCCCGCCUUUAUCUGGUUGGGUCUGGAUCUGUAAGAGCGAGUGGCUGUACUUGUUUGUCAAUGGCACCAUUUGACACAAAUAUUUAGGACACUUCUCAAACUGAAACCUUUUGCUUUAUGCAGUAUUUAAAUGUACUUAUUAGUAAUUACACAUUUUCCUUUUCCAAGACCUCUGGGUGUGCUCACAUGUAGCGCAUGUCCUGGGAAUAAAUUGCAAUGUUUGGGUGUGAUGUAUGGAAAUAUGGGGACAUUUUGAGUUGUUAGUCUGUUUUUGAGCUUAUGUUAGACGUGAUGUCUAAUGUAAAAAAAAUAAAAUAAAAUACACUCAUCUGCCAAUCCAUUAGGUACCUAUUUUACAGCUUGUUAACACAAAUAUAUAAUCAGCCAAAUACAUGACAGAAACUCCAUGCACUUAGGGAUAGUGAAGAUAAAUUUCAAUAUGAGCAUCUAAAUGGGGAAGAAAAAAGGUGAUUUCAGUAACUUUAAACAGCAUGGCUGUUGGUGUCAGAUGGGCUGAUGUGAGUGUUUAGAAACUUCGGAUUUAUUUAGAUUUUCCCACACAAUCAGUUUUUACAGAGGAUGGUUAAAAAAAAACAGAUCUCUGGGUGAAAAUACCUUGUAGAUACCAGAGAUCAGAGGAGAAACAGAGGAGAAGCUGGAAGGCAACAGUAUCUCAUAUAACCAUGCACUGCAACAAAGAUAUGGAGAAGAACAUCAUGAAUG
ensembl:lncRNA